AUCCGGCAGCAGCACUGCAGUAUUGGUCGAUCCCGCUUCAGUAACACCGAAGUUGGUCGAAUUUCCUAUAUAUUAUUGAUAAAUAGCUCGCGUUACUCGUGUGACUUUUACCAUAAAAUCGACGUCGGUGUCCGUAAUUAAGGAAGGAAACUCUCGGUCCACCGGAAACGUCGUAUAUACCAAUAACCAAGAAGAGACGCAGAAACGGUUAGGGAGUAAGCGCGUUAAUUCUAACAAGAGAAUCAUCGUAAGGGAUUAUCGUACAUUGGGUGUGACGGACAUUUAUAUAUCCGAACGCGAGUUGCAUGAAAGUCGUGCCGUGUUGCGUGAAGUGUUGAAGGAACGCUCGAUUAUUCGUGGAUCUCGAUGGGUGUAUGUGCGAUUAUGUCGAGCGCCACCGAACCGAGGUGAGCGUUAUAGAAGGGGAAACUGGCCAAAAGAAGCUGCCUUCGAAUCUGUUUUUUGCUCCGCCAUUGUACGCUACGAGAGUACCGCGAAGGAAGCCGCUUGCCUCAUUUUCCCCGUGUUUUUAUCUUCAAUUACAUUUUAACGUACCGAACGUUAGCUCGACCGUGUAAACGCGCCUACGUCCGCGUUUAACGCACCGUCUCGUGGUUACGCUAUUCACGAGGCGAAGCACGUUAGUGUAUUCUAUCUUUCUCUGUUUCGUGUUUUCUAUCUCGCUCUAACUUUUUCCCUUGGUCUCUCUCUCUCUUUGACACGCACGCACACACACACGCACACACAACACAUACACGCACGCACACAUACGCGUGCGCUCGCGCAAGCACGCACGCAUAUACACGUACAUUUCUCAUUUUCUUUCUCACUCUCUUUCCCUUUCCCUCUGGUGUAUAUAAUACCUCUCGAUGCCUUCGACAUCUCUGCGGAAGUCGUAUGUGUAAAGGUUUUUCGCGUACGUGGACAUCGGUGAAUACGCGAAGUGAUUCGUAUAAUAGUAGUGUCUUUUGCCGGGGAUACAAAUCUUGCGCGUCAUUAUGCAAUAGACGACGUGCAACUGACGAGAAAGAACUGCCUCCUCUGUUGAGGACGAGGACGGCGGUGGUGUUGUGCGGCAUGUUUUUAUCUUUGUUUUCCAAUUCCGUGCCACGACGAGGAAACGCUGCCGCUACUGCCGCCACCGCCGCCGCCACCGCUGCUGCUGCUGCUGCUGCUGCUGCUGCUGCUGCUGCUGCUAUUACUGCUGCUGCUAUUACUGCUGCUGCUACUGCUGCUACCACUGCUGCUACUACUACUACUGCUGUUGUUUUCUAUAUUUCGCGACGAGUAAUCACGUGGGAAUGCGUCAAACGAUGCAAGCAUAUCUGUUAUUAAUCUCCACGACAUGUAUACUUGGUAGUGAUAUCUAGUGUAAUUAUGUGCAACACUCCGUAGUGCUGACCGGAAAUUUCUACCUUCGAUUAAGCUUCCUUCCUACCUCCUUAAUCACUUUUAUUCAACGUUCUAUCCUUCGUUAUUUCGUCAAACAACACAGUGUUCGGGACUUUAUUUCACAAACGCGUAGCAGCGUUUUGUUUCAUCGCAUUCCAAUUUCUUAAUAACGCGUUGAUAUCGUUAUUCGCCGGCAGCCGCUUACCGUCUCAGCUUACUCUACGUUCGAAGUUCACCGCUCGAAUACUGUGAUCCGACAUAUAUUGGAACAUAUAUCUUCGUGGGAAGAACGAUCUUGCUUCUCUGACGUUCCUCUUCGCUUACUCCGCGUGUUUGGAUGUUGCCACACCGAGGAGUAUCGGUUUGAAGAAUCUGCGAUUUUCAACGGGCUUCCUAUUCUGCGAGCGAAGAGUACAAGAUUAAGGUUAUGAAUUGGUCCACAACACGCAAAUGAAACACAGAAAUGAAGAAAUUAAACAGGAUGGAGAAUAAUGUUGAAACAACAUAAUAUUAAAUGUGGAAUGAAUGAAGAAAGAGUACGUGGUUCAAAAGGGAAAUAAAACAGAAGAAAUUAUUCCAAAGCAUAACAAUAGUUAAUACAAGUGCAGGACAAUAAAUCAGUAAUGGAUGAAUGGGAGUGAGAACAGCACAUGUGAAGUGUAGGUGUGGGUGCGUACGCACGUGGGAGCCUCUGGAUGUCGAGGCCGCAGCACUGGCAGUGUCAGUGGCAGUGAUGGCCCCUGCUCUGACGGAAGGUGGUCCUCAAAAGCCUGAAAAUUUGCUCCCUUCCCUUCCAGCUGGUGGAUUUCUUUCCCCAGAGCAGGCUACAGAGUUGUGCCAGAAUCGUGAAAUUCUGGCGAAAUUUGUUGUUUCUGCAAACGUCCAACCAUCAAAGAUUGAUGAACAGUGCUUACAUGGUAUAUCCAAAGACCUCAUUCGUGAUGUCAUCAACUCGAAAUAUGCCAAUGAUCUUGAUAGUUUGUCUACAUUUACGCACGGAUCUGACUUGAUUACAAAGAAGGCAUUGAUAAAACAGGACUGUGAACAACUGGACAUUACGGGCAGUCCUGCGAAAAAGGUGACUGAUACUAUAAUGAACGACCCAUCUAUGGGUGAUCAAGCGGACAAUAUGGGUUUCUUGAAAUCAAGCGCAGAUUUGCCUUUGGUGGGCUCAGAAACAAUAGGAGAUAAUAAAAGUCUGGAUGUGGAUCAAAUAAUGGCCUUUGGUACAGAUAUAACUGCGGAUAAUGAACAAUGUAACAUGAGCAAUGUUGGUGAUAUUGGACAGAAUGUUGAGGAGAUUUUACAAGUUAUUAAAUCUAUUGAAGGCGUGGAGAAUGCAGAAAAUAUAUCUACAGGUAGUAAUGAACCAGCGCAAAGCACUGUGGAUGGAGUCGAAAUGUUUUCUAUGCCUGAAGAAGGAUUUCCUUCCUUUGAAAGAGAUUUACUUGAUGUUGAUGUUAUGAGUAUUUGCAAUAUUGCUGAUGCAGUGGACCAACAGAAAGUCAAUACCUUAAAGUUACAGCAAGAUAUUGUUGCCCAAAAACAACACGAAAGUGAAAGGAAAUGUGCAUUUUUAUUAAGAAGACUGAGGAAGCUUCAAGCAAGAAUAAUAGGCAGGCAUGUUGCUGAAGAAAACACUGGAGUUCUUGAGCUUGCUCAUCAUGGAGUGAAAAAAUAUCUUUUUCAAGAAUUGGUUAAUAUCAGUUCUAAGUCUAAUGUUAAAAACUUUCCUGAGAUUAGUAGUAGUUUGAGUUCAUUUUUGCAAAAAAUUGAGAAAAUGUGUGUUGCCCAGAGCAAUAGUGUGAAUCGUCAGCGAUUGUGUUGCCGUUAUUUUGGUGAUGGAUCGCGUGACAAUUUGAGUAGUACUUCUGGUAAUAAUAGCAACCGUCAGUCAGUGUUUGGUACACCUCAAGUUAAAGUUAGAGGCGAAGAAGUAGAAAGUGUGGCAGGACCUUUAGCCUCGCAAUUACAUAUUGUGGAAUCUAAUCUUGACUCUGAUUGUACUGCAUCAAGUAGUGGUGGAGAAAGUUGUGAUGAAAUGCAGUCAUUUAACAAUCCACAUCAACAAAGAAUAUCUAUAUCAAAACGAGCAGCAUGGAGGUAUGCUCAAGAUCGUGCAGGUGUAGCAGCAAGAUGGACGUGGCUGCAAGCACAAAUAUCGGACUUGGAAUACAGGAUUAGACAGCAUAAUGAAUUGCAACGGCAUAUAAGAGCUAACAAGGGUUUAGUGAUACUUGAUAAUGCAGAAACAGUGAAUGGGUAUAGUGGUGUUUUACCGGGUUCUACAGGUCGUUAUAAUUCACCAGAAGGUGAAUUACCUGCUAGUAGAACUCGGCCGUUUGUCUGGAGUUUUUACAGGAAGAGGAAAUUAUUACAACUAGAUAAGUUACAUGAAGUCUCAAAACGUGCUGCAAAAGCAUCAACUGUAAGAUGCAAUUGCGAUCGUGUAUUACCACCAUGUGCUUUAUGCACUGGAAGAUUAGAUCCAAUGCAACCGCAAGAACCAAUUGAACAAAUGUCUGUACAAGAAAGGGUUGCACUUGUGGAUCCUAGUUUUCAUCCUGUUUUGUCAUUUCCUGAUGAAAUCACACAGGGAACUCAUCUUGAUGCAAUCAUGAAAACAGUGGAAUGGCAACAAAAAAUGUUAAGGGGAAAUUUACGGAUCACACGUUUAAAAGAUAAAGAUACCAAUGAAAGGAGAAAUAAGAAACUUCCAGGGCACAGGGCAAAAUAUGCAGCUCGGUUAAAAAAAUCAUCCUCGAGUAUUCUUACCGCAAGAAUUAAGAAGAAAAUGCUAAAAGGAAAGAGAAACAGGCUUGGUCAUGAUAGAAGCGUUCAUGGUUUAAGUAGGAAGAGGGUACAGAAACUGACAACUGAAGAUGAUGAUGAUAUUAGUGCACUUUCCAGCUCUAGUAAGCAUUCAUCUCCAGUGCCUUCUCCUUUACAUCACACUAUUGCUUCUACUACAGAGAAGAACAUAGUUAAAGAAAAGAAUUCUCAUGGACGAUUGAGGCAAAACUCGUACGAUAUUGAUAAUAUAGUUAUACCAUAUAGCGUAGCUGCUUCAACUAGGCUUGAAAAGUUACAAUACAAAGAAAUAUUAACACCAAAGUGGAGGUUAUGCGAAGAGCCUUCAAAGUUGGAUAUUAAAAAUGGUGUUAUGCAUAGGCCUAGUCAAGACAGUGAUUUCGAAGAUAUGUCAGACGAAACUAUAGCUUUAAGACAUGAACGAAGCGAACGAGAAGAAAACAAACGUUUUAUGACAUAUAUGAAUAUGCCACAUCAGUCUCGUAUUCGACAUAAUCGUAGGACAGAUAGUCGGGCAGAUAGUGGUGCGAAUACACCAGAUCCUAUGUCUCCGCACGCAAGUGAUUUUGGUGGAGACAUGAUGUCACCAAUUACGUCACCUCCUGCAACUCCACACGUUCAAGAAUCAGAACAUCAACAUAACUCUGAUAACUUGCAUCGAUCAUCUGCUUUGCAAAAUGCUUUACGGCGUCGUACUGCGCCUAUGUUAAGAGUAGGGAAAGACGACACUGGUGCUUCGGUAAAUGAAGAUGAAAAUGAGAUUUUGCCGUAUGAACCAAGGAUAUUUCCAUUAUCCGAAGAAGUAUAUGACAAAAUGCUGGAAGUGAUGCCAGACGGGCAUUGGCAAGCUUCUUCAGCAUCUCUUUGUUCCCGCGAUGAAGAAAAAGCGGACGAUGUACGUACACUGUGUUUGUAUUAAAUAUUUGAGUGUUAAUUAUCAGAACUUUUUAUUAUGAAAGAAAUAUCUGAAUGCUCGUACUGAUUAUUAAUAUAAACUUUGAGCCAACUUUCAUGGCUCCUCGAGGCUAUCCCUGGAUGGGGAAAUGGAUUCUCCAGAAUCAGAUUCGACAGAAUCA